GGGGGUAAAAGUGCACAGAACUACACACACAUAGAAAUGUAGAUGAUAUCUGUACAUGGUCUGUUUUCUAGUUAACAGUAAUGUAUCAGUAUCAAUUUCCUCAUUUUCCUACACUAUGAUAGUAAUGUAAGAUGUCACUACUGAGGAAACUGAGUUAAAGAAUACAGAGAGCGCUACUAUUUUUGCAACUUCCUAUGAGUCUCUACCUCAAAAUAAAAGUUAAAAAAAGGGAGUUCCCGUCGUGGCGCAGUGGUUAACAAAUCCGACUAGGAACCAUGAGGUUGCGGGUUCGGUCCCUGCCCUUGCUCAGUGGGUUACCGAUCCGGCGUUGCCAUGAGCUGUGGUGUAGGUUGCAGACGUGGCUCGGAUCCGGCGUUGCUGUGGCUCUGGCGUAGGUUGGCAGCUACAGCUCCAAUUAGACCCCUAGCCUGGGAACCUCCAUAUGCCGCGGGAGCGGCCCAAAGAAUAGCAAAAAGACAAAAAAGAAAAAAAAUAUAAAUAAGAUUUUCUUAUAUAUAUCCAACUUUAAAAAAAAAAAUGACUGACAAAAGAUGUAACAGUUUGUCAUCUCUGGAUGGUGCUCCAUGAUAGCAACCACAUCUAUCUUAAUUCACCAUUUAAACAUCAAUAUCUAGCAUGGUUCUUGAUGUCUAAUAUGUUCCCAAUGACUAUAUCCUGAAGCCAUGGAAUGAAUUAGUAUUCUAACCAAGGUUCUAUGCCCAAGUUCCUCCAGCUUUAACAAAGAAUGGAAGGUAGAAGGUAGGAGGUAAGAGGAAAAAAAGAUGAAUCUAGAUAGGGCCUAGCUGUUACCAGGUCAAAAGAUUAUAUUAACCAACACUACAUUCUAGUAUCGAUGAAAAAGUUGACCUUAGAAAAACUUUAAGUCAUCUGCUCUGAUCAUCUAAAUCUUAGACUUCUUUAAUAAUUAGAAAAAGAACUGAACUGAUAUCAGAAAAUCUGCCUCAUCAAUUUCUAACACCUAAUGCCUUUAAGAAAGCCAAAUUUUCUUUGCUAUGUGCAAAUCCAUCGACUUUUUAAUCUAAAAAAAAUUUUAGCUAGAGUUAUGCAUACUAUCAAAAAAACACUUCCAGAGUUCCCAAUGUGGCUCAGCAGUAAUGAAGCCAACUAGUAUCCACAGUUGAAUCCCUGGCCUCGCUCAGUGGGUUAAGGAUAUGGCACUGCUGUGAGCUGUGGCUCAGAUCCUUUGUUGCUGUGGCUGUGCUAUAGGCCAGCAGCUGUAGCUCUGAUUCAAUCCCCUAGCCUGGGAACCUCCAUAUGCUAUAGGUGCAGACCUAAAAAAAAAAAAAAACAAAAAAA
rnacentral:lncRNA from 1 species